UACGGAGGGUGCAAGCGUUAAUCGGAAUUACUGGGCGUAAAGCGCGCGUAGGCGGUUUUGCUAAGUCAGAUGUGAAAAUCCCCCCGGGGCUCAACCUGGGGAAUGGCAUUUUGAGACUGGUAGGCUAGAAUGUGGUAGAGGUGAGUGGAAUUCCAGGUGUAGCGGUGAAAAUGCGUAGAGAUCUGGAGGAACAUCAGUGGCGAAGGCGACUCACUGGGGCCAUUAUUGACGCUGAGGUGCGAAAAGCGUGGGGUAGCAAAACAGGAUUAGAUACCCCGGGUAGUCC
rnacentral:rRNA from 1 species